GAAGAGGUGGCCGAGAUGGCAAGGCAGCGGGUCGCUAGCCCGUAACGGGUCACACCGUCGGGGGUCUGACUCCCUUCCUCUCCACCA
rnacentral:tRNA from 1 species